CUGCCUUGAUCCACUUGGCUACAUCCGC
rnacentral:tRNA from 1 species